GCGCGCUUAGCUUAAUGGUAGAGCGAUCGCCUUACACGCGAUAUACAGGGGUUCGAUUCCCUUAGCGCGCA
rnacentral:tRNA from 1 species